GGUAAAAAAACAUAGAUUUCAAAUUAACUGCGCAGAUAUAUUUAUGUACAGUUUUUACAUCAACAUUUGCAAGUUAAGUGCAUUUUAUGUGUGAUAAAUCCAAUUACAAGGUUCACAAAUGUAUCGAAUGCGUUUAGUUUAGCUUAGUGCUUGACAUCAUUCGAAUAUUAGUUUUCUCGAAGAUCGUAUAAAUCGUGAAGCGUAUUGAAAGCGAGCGACUGUAAAAUGUCAAAGGGCUAUUUUUUGCUAUUUGUUCUUUCUUUUCUCUGUCUCAGUGUCUUUAACGUUCUUUCACAAAAUUCAUUAAAUGAAUUCUCUGAAGACUUUUCUCUUACCAAUAUGACCAAGUUAACAAUGAAUUUCUUUAAGACUUAUAAGGAAGUGUUACAAAACUUGGAUUUGUCCAUUAAAAAGUGUAAAGGAAAUAGUGAGAAGUUGGAUGAGUUUAUAAACAAAAUAAAAAAGAAACUAAUACCCGAAAGCAAAAAGUUAAUCAAAAAUUGUGGGGUUCCAUCAGAAUGCAGCUGGGCCGAUAAGUUUAUGAUGAAUAUCAUCCACAUUAGAACAACUGAAAUCCUAUUGGAUACAAUUGGUAUUGAAGAUUUGAAUAAAUGCGAAGAUAAGUAUAUGAAGAAAUAUACAUGGGUCCUGAAUCGAUCAAGAAAUAUUUUAAAAAAGUUCUUGGGUUAAUUUCUUUCAUCUUUUUUAAUGCACGUCUCGCAACCAUAGAAAUUGGGUUAAAUAUAUAUAAAGUGUUUAUUAAAAUUACCUUCUGAAUAAAUUAAUUUAUGUGCAA